rnacentral:sRNA from 1 species
AAAACAAAAUCAAGUACAUGUACUUAUUAUAAAGAGAAAACAAAACAACCAAAUUUUUCGUUAAAUCUUCAAUUCAACAAACAGAGAGUAUAUAGGAGAAUAAACUGGAGCAUCUUCAAAGAAGUUGAAAAGAUAUAUAUAGUAGGGUUUACAACUUAAAAACUAAUAAUAAAAAACUCCUCGUUCUGUCUUUAGUUUCUUGCUUCUCAAGUUACAUGCCAUGUCAAAGCCCCUAGAAUAAAUAUUUUGCUAGGCAAUUCCGCAGCUGAUGGAGAGACAUAUGUAAAUCUCUCUUCACCAAUAUCAACAUUUUUGAUACACACAAUUCCAGCAACAAUGCUGCAAAAAAAACAAAUAUAUAUUGCCGUAAAUUUAACGAUCUCUUCAUCCGUAACUUAAUCGUUUUCAACAAAUAUAUAUGGCAAUAAUCCUUUUCUUAGCGUAUCAGGAGGACGAGAGAAGAGUAUCAUCAGCAAAACAGAGAGUUUACUGAUCACUUUCUAUAUUGUUUACUGUUGCCCAUUUAUUUGCUAGCAUACUCCAUUUUAUACCUUUUUAUUUCCCAAUUGACUGAUUGGGUUCUUUAAAACUUAAUCAAAUUGUGUGUUUGGUUUCGAUGGUCAUCACAAAGAACAUGACUUAAACUCAAAUACUACAAAAUUAUUACUAUACAAGUAUAAGAAUUCUAUAUAAAAACGGUCUAUUUUUGCACGAGAAGUAUGACAUCAUACCAAAUGUAAGAGAGAGUAUUAAAGGAGUCAAAACCAAUUAAAGAGGUUAUUACCGAUAGCCUUACCAUGUUUCCAUUGUAAGUUACCGAGACAAAAAGAAACCUCACCGUAACACAGCCGGCGUGACCGCCUAGAACAGCAAGGUGAAUUGCUGAGUGACCUUCCGUAGUCAAUAUGGCAUUCACAUUCUCAUUAAACUCCGCUGACACAAAACGAAAGAAAAAAUAAUUAAGAAAAGUGAAGAUGUAAUUGUUGUUAAUCAAAGAACUAAAAUAAAGCUUUGAGAUCUAUUUACCCAUCAUUUGGGUUAAGCCUUCGGUAUUUCCGUUCUGAAUUAAAGUAGCAAUUUGCAUGAGGUUUUCGGGAAGAUGGAGUAGUGUCACCAUUUUUUCUUUCUCUCUUGUUUUAUCUAUAUUCUUAGAUCUCUCAUGGUUGGUUUGAUCUCUACUAGCGAAGGGGUUUAUUUAUUUAUAAUGGUGUGAAAUCGGUGGGUGGAUGCUAACUUGCACGGUUUUAUCUAUCUUCACUCAUGCAACUUCGCUUUAUCAAAGUCUAAUUAGUAUUUUGAUCGAUGAACUCUAUUAGGUUAGAACUUAAAACUAGAAGAAUAUUUUUCAGGUUAUAUUUUUGGCAACUUUCAUUUAGACUAAUUUGCGAAGAAAUGAAAAAUACUCUUGGUAACUUUAACGUGCUAUUGGUCAGUUACACGUUUUGUUUUAUAUUUGAUGACGAAGUUUCUUUUGUUUACCAAUUUACUACUAGUUACAAAGCAUGAACGGUCCAGCUAAUAGGAAUCUUUGAAAAAAUAAUUGACUUAAACUGACUCAGCUAAUAGGAUGACUUAAGAAAGUAAGUUUGCAUAUUACUAUACGACCAAUUAAAGAUAUUUUUGGGAACUUAAUUUGCGAAGAAAUUAAAAAUACUCUUGGUAACUUUAACGUGAUAUUGGUCCGUGACAAGUUUUGUUUCGUGUUGAUGACUAGGCUUCCUUUAUCUAACAACAGAAAUGUUACCGAGAGUGAACAAUUCAGCUCAUAGUAUUGUUCUCAACUCCUCCAUCUCUGGUUAAAUACUGCCUCAAAUCUUCGACGCAGGAUCGGUCCGCCAUAAAUGUUCUAUGCAAAUAAAAUAUUUAUGCCCUCUAUUUUUUUGCAUAAUCAAAAAUAAGAAUAAUAUAUAAAAGUUAUAGUAAAACUUUAUAGAACAGUUUUUUUAAAA